rnacentral:rRNA from 1 species
GACGAACGCUGGCGGCGUGCUUAACACAUGCAAGUCGAACGGAAAGGCCCUGCUUUUGUGGGGUGCUCGAGUGGCGAACGGGUGAGUAACACGUGAGUAACCUGCCCUUGACUUUGGGAUAACUUCGGGAAACUGGGGCAAAUACCGGAUAGGAGCUCCUGAUACUUAUUGGGGGUUGGAAAGUUGCGGCGGUUGGGGAUGGACUCGCGGCUUAUCAGCGUGUUGGUGGGGUAGUUGCUUACCAAGGUUUUGACGGGUAGCCGGCCUGAGAGUGUGACCGGCCACAUUGUGACUGAGAGACGACCCAGACUGCUACGGGAGGCAGCAGUGGAAAAUAGUGCGCAAUGGGCGGAAGCCUGAUGCAGCAACUCCGCGUGCGGAAUGACGGCCGUCGGGUUAUAAACGGCUUGCGCCUGUGACGAUGCGUGAGUGACGGUAAUUGGUAAAGAAGCACCGGCUAACUACGUG